AGAUCCAUCUUUUCACUUGGCCGCCCUUCGCUUCACCUACCACCCCAAGCACCGGAGUACCCCUACGGUCGAAACAAAAAGCGGUGGAGGCGCGAGCGGCUGGGGCAGCCGGAUACUCUUACCAAGUCGUCGGAGGAGUAGCGGUGACAACGUUGGAGGCGAAUACACGAAUGUAGUGUAGGGGAGAAACAUGAACCUAGAGUGACAUCGGAGGAGUCAGGAGUAGUACGGAUAUCCAAGCCAAGAAUAUUUAGAUCUUUUGACUUUUAAUAAAAGAACUAACCAAACAUGUUAUCACAGACUCUCCGACUUCGAAGGAUGCUAGACCGACCGAGAAUAAUGUAGAUUUAUACCUCCUUUUGUCCCGUUACUAUACCGAUAUUUUGAAAAGGAUAUUUGACUUAUACGUAUGUUUAAAUCAUUUUAGUUAUAUCCUCUUUAGUGACACAAUUUACAGUUCAUUUGACCAUUAUUGUUCUCUUUGUACGAAAUCGUAGAGUAAUAAAACUGGUUAUGUAAUAAAACUCAGUAGGUUGUUCAAUGAUUCUACAACAAGUUUUAACCAAGGUUUUGACAUGUAUAACACACCACAACUUAACCAUAAUAUACGUACGGUAUAAAAAGAUGUCUAACGAGAAAGUUAGUAAUCCAUCUCCAUUCUUUGUAGACUCCGUCCCAGUAUAGACGCGGGAGCUUCGGCGGACGUUGUACAAAGUUAGGGGAGAGACAUGUUCCAAGAGGGACUAAGGAGGUAAAAGGUUAUAAGUACUUGGUACAACAAAGAAACCAAAAUCUAAUGAUGGGACGUAAACUGGGUGAUUUGCAAAAACGGAACGAAAGGAACUCAUACAAGUCUCCCAGUUACAAGUAUAAUACUUAGGGUAGAGGUCGGAUAUAUGUGUUGCAUAGAAGUUCGUAGAGUUUCGCUCUUGCAUAACAGGGAAGAUCCCAAGUCGGUGUCUUAAUAACUCUCAGGUUGAUAGGAACCCGUUCCCUAGAGUCUUCUAUUAUGUUGUGGUCAAUCACAUCGACGAAGGUUACUAUCUCUUUGUUAACUUUGUUCCAUGACGGGUAUCUAUACGUAUAAAUAAAUUAAGGAGUUGGUUACAAAAUUGUGUUUUAAAAGAAAGUGUAUUUGAAGCCAUCUCUUCCUUUUGGGCUGAAAUGACUUCUAUGAUCCUCGUUUAAGGCUACUAAAUUAUUUGAAAGGGAUGUCAUAAAAUUUUCCCUUCUGGUGAUAAUCGAUAACAACAUUCUGUACACGGUAUUAAAAGACAGAAAAACGUCGUGAUGUUUUGUGUGCUCGUGCUGUGUAAAGUCCUGUACGUAUAAUUACGGAGUUCCUUUUAUUAUAGAUAGUUCCAUAAUAGGUAGUGUAUUUAGAUUAUUAGAUUGUUACGAUGUUUAAAAUGUCGUACAUCCCGUUGUAGUUCGAAACGAUGUUACUUCUACGUACGAAGUCAAGGGUUGUGCGGUAAUAUCAUAGUUAUUAGUGAUGAAAACUAGCGACGGAUAAUAUUCGCUCUCUCUAAGAGUAUGAAGGUCUACAAAAAGUCGACAUGUUCUGAUGUUUAUAUAAUAGUACGACCUCAUGUACAUAGACGGGAUUAAUAACUAUAGACUAUAUUAUACACGUAAAAUACGUUUGGAGGUGAAACUCCGUACACAACCGGAUAAAGGGAAUUUAGUUACAUCUAACGAU
rnacentral:rRNA from 1 species